rnacentral:ncRNA from 1 species
GUGUCUGAAAGGAGAGAUGUUUAGCAGUCCUCUUGACAAGGGUGGAAGAGGCCCUUAUGGCUAGUACAACAUGCAUAUGGUUAAGGUAUCGCUGCUUACCUUGAGGCAUCUAACCAUGGCUUUUA